GUCAGAUACAAAUAUGGCGUUUUGGACGGGUUCAAUAGUUUGCUUGGCGUCUACUCAAGUAAUGCUGAUAGUAUAGCAAGAAGGUAUUCUGAGCAUUGUAUCAAUGGGGAAGUUCUAGAUCUUUUGCAAAGCAGGAGAGUCAUCCCAGGGCAUCCAGAGGCUUUCAGGGUGCCUGAAGUCUCCCACUGCACCACCUUUGGGUUAACCUAGCCUGUCCCACAGAAGAUGAUGAAGUUGGGUCUGGAGGCAGGUUGACUCAGAUGGAUUCUCGAUUUUAUGAUGCUGGCCUGGAGACGGGUUUCACCAUGUUGCCCAGGCUAGUCUCGAACUCCUGGACUCAGGCGAUCCACCUGCCUCAGCCUCCCAAAGUGCCAGGAUUACAGGCGUGAGCCACCGCACCUGGCUGAACUGUCCCUUCACACUUACCUUCAGUCCUGGAGGGAGGACCUCUUGCUUGUGGAUCUGGAUGACAGUGAUACUCACAAGCACCACAAUACUCACAAGCAAGACCACCAAGGCAAUGAUGGUUGGAGUUCGGUAGAGGGCCUUGAGGCCUAAAAUGAGAAGACCCAGAAGACACUUGAGGGGGAGGUAAAAACCAGGCACUGGUAUUCUUUGUAGAAUUGAUGGACUGGCCCCAUAAUCAGGUGCAUAAACCACUUUCUCUGGUGUUAGCGAGACCCACACUUAUAAGAUGGAGUAGCAAACAAACUCCCCUUCUCCCCAG
rnacentral:antisense_RNA from 1 species